AUGCGCACCUUAUUAAGCCUGUUUGCACUCGAAAACAGGAAGCUUGGAGUUGUAAAGAAGCCAGACACAAAGUGCAUCAUAAAGAUGGAAUUUAUAGCUAGAUUAACAUGGAAGGACGGAUUGUAUUACUGUACAAAAAAAAUAUAACCAGAUGCACAGCACAUCAAAACCAGAUCCCUGGGGAAUGGAAAACGUUUGCGGCUGAAGCAGUAAACUACUCGCAGAGGAACAUUGUUUUGGUAGUUUUGGUUCCACUAUUCUGCACGGAUGAAUCUGUCACCACUGCUAAUGUUUCCAGACACCAAAACUCUCCAAAAUAAUCAAAGAAGGAAGAAAAUGAAAGAUUCUGAAAAUUGUUUGAUGAGCUGGAUAAAUGAGGAGAUCUGUGGUUUGCUACGGAAGAUCUUGUGUUACGCAGGAUCUCCUGAGGUUCACUAAAGGAGGAGGAAGUCAUAAACUGAAAAGGGCAGCUUUUGAACCGCACAUUCACAAAGCGUGUCAUAUUCAAAUAGUGAGUUAGUUUCCUGUUUAAUGUGUUUGAACUGUUGAGGAAUAACAAAUAAAUGUACAAUGCUAAAUUGUGACACUACUCUGUCUACACUAUAGUGCAGUUUUAUUAAUAAUAGUACUAGUAGUAUUUUUCAACAUUUAACAGUAUAGCAUGAAAUAAUAUAUACAAUUAUUUUAGUUCUGCAUAUAUUUGGUUUACACAAUGAAACAUAAACAAUGCAUUGCUGUUUAUAACUAUAUUUUCAGUUGAAUUACAUAUUACAUUUUUUAGACAUUUUUUUUUUCAAUAGUUUUUAAUUGUAGUGUAACUAUCUAUUUGGUUGGGUGACUUGACUGUCGCUUUAUUUUAGCUUGCCAAAUUACAAGCUACUCAUGAUGUAAGUAUCUGCCUUAUCACUGCACCAAAAUAUGAUAAAAGCUUACCUGCUUACAUUGUUUCAGCCUGCAUGUUACCAAACCAGACUUUUAAGUGUGUUCUCCGUGAAACUCCAACAUGGCUUCAUGUCCUCCACCGUUAACUAAAUCACCAAGGACACUUGUUAGUAUUGUUUAGGUAAGUAAUCCAUUUUUAUUUAACAUGCAUCCCAUAGAGUUUCGUAUUAAAUUCAGUUUCUUUUGACGAGAUUGAAUGAAUCUGGCUGGAUUUCUGACCUCUAGUCCGCUGAUGACAGGUACAGGGCUGAUGGUGUUCAGGUGACUGGUCAGACUCUCACUGAAGGUGUAUUUAACCAUCUCUGUUCCAGCGAUGAUCUAACAGGAGCCAUCAUUCAGUAACACCUUAUUACUUUCUUUAGGACAUGGAGAGGACUGUGAGUUUGGAAUGACAUGGGGAUGAGUAAAUGAUGACAGUUUUCAUUUUGGGUUGAACUAUUGUUCAUUUUACUGCCUGUGUUUACCUGGAACUGUAUGAUUUUUUUCAUUAGACAGGCAAAGGUACAUGUGGCUACUGUCUCUGAACUGGAAAGCACAUUUAUGAAGAUGAGACACAAGCUCUUCCACAUCUAGAUAGGCAUGCUGCUAAUUCCCUUUACGUAUUACCUGCAAGGAAAGAAAUAGAAUCGGGUAACUAUUCCCACAGCUGACCUUUUUUUUUUUGUACAUUUAACAUCCUCUUAAAGGAACAGUUUACUUUUUUUCACUGAAGGAAGCAUUUUCUAAGAUUACGGACUCCUAUUUUGCCCAGAAGCAAUGGUUUGACAUUAAAUAAUAUGUUAAUUAUUCAUUUGUUUCUUUAAACCUGCAAUUUUGGAUUCACAGACAUUAAUUGAUGGAUUAGAUGUGGAUUACUUGGAGAUUACUAGUUUUAUAUUUCCAUAAUGUACCAUUGGUGGCAGCACCACUCCUGAGUCAGUGCUUACCAGCUGAACCACACAGCCACAACAGAUGAAGCUGUCACACACUGUGUAUUCACUAUGAGUGGCUUGCAUCUCCUCCACUAUAAAGAAACAGAGUAAGUAUUAGGCCAUAACACUGUAGGGGAAGAGAAAGAAAAAUAGACCUCACUCAGGAAGUGCUGUAUUGGGGUUAAACCCAUUUAUGCUACAUUUAUUACAGCUGUUGAGCACAUGUUGCUGACAUUUACAACUGGACCUUUUAGAUUUUUUGAACUGAUUUUACUCUCUUGUUUCUAAACUUGUUUGGGUUUCUUCCGUUUAUUUAGCUACUGUGGUUAAUUCUUGAUAUGCACAUUGUAGAAACAAUCACAUACUUUUUAUAAAGUUUCAACAGUUUUUUUUUUUUUUUUACUGAACCAAUAGGGCAAACAAAAGAAACACCAUUCAUAAUUUAAACCCUCACUGAUCCUAAACAUGCACAUUCAGACUGACAAGCAGACAGCAAACACAAAUGACGGGUAUACUGUGACUGAUGCCAGUCUGUUCUUUUCCUUAAUCUUUGUCUCAUUGUCCGUCUCUCCCACAGAACGGUGAGGAAUUCAGCGUCACUUGACCGAUGCUCUCAGAUGUCAAGCGCCUCUUUCUUCCCCUCAGAAGCUCUCUGUGGAUCUAGCAGUCAUUGUCAACAGAACGUGCCCUCUUAGUGUGUGCUUUAGGAUCAGAAGGUUAGAGAUCAAAUGUCUGACUCCUGUGGCAAUGGCUGCUGGGUGACACCAGUUAGUGGCUUGACCCCACUUCUUAUACACAAAGACACGCAAACACACUACCAAAACUUACAGGAGUUCAGUUUCGACCCUUUUUAUGAAAAUGGCACUUAGCAGAAGAUGUCAUAUUUGAUUUGAUUCAUUGGCUUGAUCAUAAAACAAAACAAAAAUAUUACAAAAAAAAUGUAAUUUGGACAAAAAAAUAUAAAUAAAUAAAUAUAAAUGACCUAGAACCUCAAUACUGCACAAAAUUCUGAACUGACUGUCUUUCUAUUACACGCAGCAUCAAAUUCAUUUGCAUCAUUACUUAUGGACAUUCAGGAUUGCACACACAUGCACAGACUCACGGUCAGCGUUUUUCAUGCACUGCCUCUUCUGUGAUCAUUUGGAGAUGACUUUAAUGAGUUUGCUGUUAAAUGUGCCAGUUUCUUGCCCUCUGUUGUGAUACAAGUGUAGCAGCAGACGAAAGUGCUUUCGUUUGUCCAUAUCUGUGAUAUACAAGGUUUUGGCGCAGACAAACAUCUGAAAAACAUUAAAAAAAAGGAAAUUGUUAACAUUUGCAAAAGUUUGCAAGUUUGAGGUUGGUAUGCAAGUGUUUGUUGUUGCUGUUUUUUUUUUUUUUUUUUUUUUUGACAGUGGCUAUUUGCACUUAAU